AAGGAGUCUAACAUGCAUGCGAGUGUUUGGGUGGAAAACCCGAGCGCGCAAUGAAAGUGAAAGUUGGGAUCCCUGUCGUGGGGAGCACCGACGCCCAUACCAGACCUACUGUGACGGAUAUGCGGUUGAGCAUGUAUGUCGGGACCCGAAAGAUGGUGAACUAUGCCUGAAUAGGGUGAGGCCAGAGGAAACUCUGGUGGAGGCUCGUAGCGAUUCUGACGAGCAAAUCGAUCGUCAAAUUUGGGUAUAGGGGCGAAAGACUAAUCGAACCAUCUAGUAGCUGGUUCCUGC
rnacentral:misc_RNA from 1 species